AUACGAAAGGUGCAAGCGUUGUUCGGAUUUACUGGGCGUAAAGAGAUCGUAGGUGGUUUAUUAAGUCGGAUGUGAAAUCCCGGGGCUCAACCCCGGAACUGCAUUCGAUACUGAUAGGCUAGAGUUUGGGAGGGGUAAGCGGAAUUCCGUGUGUAGCAGUGAAAUGCGUAGAUAUACGGAGGAACACCUGAGGCGAAGGCGGCUUACUGGACCAAUACUGACACUGAGGAUCGAAAGCGUGGGUAGCAAACAGGAUUAGAAACCCUAGUAGUCC
rnacentral:rRNA from 1 species